rnacentral:rRNA from 1 species
UACGAAGGGGGCUAGCGUUGCUCGGAAUCACUGGGCGUAGAGGGUGCGUAGGCGGGUUCUUAAGUCAGAGGUGAAAUCCUGGAGCUCAACUCCAGAACUGCCUUUGAUACUGAGAGUCUUGAGUACGGGAGAGGUGAGUGGAACUGCGAGUGUAGAGGUGAAAUUCGUAGAUAUUCGCAAGAACACCAGUGGCGAAGGCGAACUACCUGGCCCAUUCUUGACGCUGAGGCGCGAAAGCUAGGGAGCGAACGGGAUAG